GACGAACGCUGGCGGCGUGCCUAAUACAUGCAAGUAGGACGCAGUUGCGAACGGGUGAGUAACGCGUAGGUAACUACCUAUUAGAGGGGGAUAACUAUUGGAAACGAUAGCUAAUACCGCAUACUAGUAGAUGGACCUGCGUUGUAUUAGCUAGUAGGUAGGGUAAUGGCCUACCUAGGCAACGAUACAUAGCCGACCUGAAGGGGUGGUCGGCCACACUGGGACUUGGGAACGGCCCAGAAUCCUUCGGGAGGCAGCAGGUGGGAAUCUUCGGCAAUGGGGGGAAACCUGACCGAGCAACGCCGCGGGAGGGAAGAAGGUUUUCGGAGCGUAAAGCUCUGUUGUGAAGGAAGCGGUACUUAACCAGAAAGGGACGGCUAACUACGUGCCAGCCGCCGCGGUAAUAC
rnacentral:rRNA from 1 species